rnacentral:tRNA from 1 species
GCCCUGGUGGCAUGACGAUUCAGCACUUGGCUGCUAACUAAAAGAUCGCUGGUUCAAACCCACCCAGGGGCU